GCCUGGCUGGCUCAGUCAGUUAAGCGUCUGAUUUCAACUCACAUCAUAAUCUCACAGUUCGUAGGUUCAAGCCCUGCGUCAGGCU
rnacentral:tRNA from 1 species